rnacentral:rRNA from 2 species
AAACCGAAGCUAAUACCGGAGAGGAUCUUCUCCUUCAUGGGAGAUGAUUGAAAGAUGGUUUCGGCUAUCACUUACAGAUGGGCCCGCGGUGCAUUAGCUAGUUGGUGAGGUAACGGCUCACCAAGGCAACGAUGCAUAGCCGACCUGAGAGGGUGAUCGGCCACACUGGGACUGAGACACGGCCCAGACUCCUACGGGAGGCAGCAGUAGGGAAUCUUCCGCAAUGGACGAAAGUCUGACGGAGCAACGCCGCGUGAGUGAUGAAGGCUUUCGGGUCGUAAAACUCUGUUGUUAGGGAAGAACAAGUACGAGAGUAACUGCUCGUACCUUGACGGUACCUAACCAGAAAGCCACGGCUAACUACGUGCCAGCAGCCGCGGUAAUACGUAGGUGGCAAGCGUUAUCCGGAAUUAUUGGGCGUAAAGCGCGCGCAGGCGGUUUCUUAAGUCUGAUGUGAAAGCCCACGGCUCAACCGUGGAGGGUCAUUGGAAACUGGGGAACUUGA